GCGUUGGUGGUUUAGUGGUAAAAUUGAUCGUUGCCAUCGAUUCCUGUGUUUCCUAGCACCAGAUUUGACUCGAUCAGCCCCGGGUUCGAUUCCCGGCCGACGCA